CUCAUAUUCUGAAGAUCCCAAUUGUCUAAGAUUUGAUACACAGAGGUUAUUCUUCAAGGGUGAUAUAGAUUGCUGUGAAAGACUUUGAUAAAAAUAAUACCCACUAUUAAGAAAUGUAAUGUAGAAAAUAUUCUGAGAUGACCUUCUCUUACAUGUUAAUCACCUGGUUAAAAGAAUAAAAUCACUAUUUCCCAAAGUGAGUCUAGAAUAUACAGCUCACUCUCUGAACCUUUUUUAGUUUCUAAUUACUUUUCAAGCAUCUCCCAUUGCUGAAAUGGAACUAGUACAUCAACUGCUACAAUAUGCGAAAUAAUUACACCUGCUUUGACACAGAGCACAGCGAAAAGCAGACUAGUUCUGAACUCUGAACUAUGCUUUCACUCACGAACUCACGACCUAACGGUGUUCUUGUGAAACAGCUACUAGAAAUUAUUAAAUGUUCUUCAUUCACUAAACUGGUAAUAACAAACCAAGAGGCCAACAGCAAAUUAUUAACUCAUUAACUCUAAAGAAAUAACCCCCCAAAAAAACACCCUAUGAUUUGUCUAACACUGACAAUGCCCAGUCUUUUAACAAGUUGUAAACCAAAUCACACACGUAUAUAUACACAGCUAUUUUUACUAGAAUUGAAGUGAGAUUUCAAUUCUUCAAAACAGAAUUGAAGUGAGACUAUACAUUCUUUGAAUUGGAAUGAAUUUGAGAAGCCCCAUUUUGAAGAAUGUGUUCUAUGGCUUCAGAGGACUUGGAAAAAAUUCCUUCCAAAUCACCCACUGAAAUCCAAGAGCAGAUUAUGAGGAUCUCUAGCCAGGCUCAAUACUGUUUGAAACACAUGAAAGACUUACUCCUCUAAAAAUGCUGUCAUCCUGGAAUCACUGUAAAGCUUCCUGUUGAAAAAGGUUCACAGUGCACCCACCUGAGAUGUCCUUAGUCUUUGAUGUUAUAUAUCACCUCGUAACUCUUACACUUAACUGAAGGGUCAUUGUGAUACUUCACAUAAGAAAAAUGUCAUAAUGUCUCUAGUAUCUACUUCAAAAAUAUUUUUUUAAAUAAAGAAAUGAAGCAAAAGGACAAGAUACUAAAAAAGAAAGGCACAAUCAGCCAGACAUAAACUUAAAAGUAAAAUAGAUUUAAGCUCCAGGUUAUCAAAGAGAGCAAAGAAUUCUGAUUACGUUUGGCAGAAAUGACUCAUAUGAGACAAAGAAGUUCACAGAAAAGGAAAGCAAACCUGAGUUAUAAGAGUGAGCAAUAAUGGACUGGUGAAUAGGCAAUCUUGAGGUGCUACACAUCUCUCAGCCUAUAAGAAACCUGAGCAUAGGUGGAAGAGGAAGUGACCGGAGUAGAGAAGAUCCUUUUUGUAAGGUCACAAGCAGAAUAAUAAGCAACAAGGGUAGGCACUUGAGGUCAGGAACAGGCCAGAACAAUGAAGAAGAGUUUUUUACUUUAUCUCUUCACUCCUGAAUAGCUGAAUACAGUAAGAAUGAAAACUGCAAAAACUAGAAGGUAGGGUGACUGCUUUUGAUUGCACUGUCAGUAGGAAAGAUGGGGCAGUUUUUCCAGAAGACUGAACAGAAUGACUGUCUCCUAAAGAAGAAAAGAAAACUGAAGCCCAAUGAAGGACACAUGAUGAACUGUGGAACUGGAACUAGAAACCAAGUCUUUGGACAGGGUUCAUUGCUUUCCAUUAUAAUAGUGACAUAAAUUUAACCGAUUACUGCCAACAAGAAAUGGUUGAUAUUUUGAACAAUUUAUAAAGUGAUGCAAGGUAAAAUAAAAGAUUGCUUAGUUGAACUCUACAGAAAAGAUGAAAGAAAGGUGACAUAUUGAAACAUAUUGAUUUGACAUCACAAAAAAAUAUGUGUACCUCUCACUCUAUCGUUCAUGCUCUCAUUCUCUUUUUCUUCCUUUCUAAUUUAUAUAUCAUCAAUUUCUGGAAAAGGAUUGAUGGAAGUUCUUUGGCUGACUCCCAGGAAAGUAAUAAUGUAGUAAAAUUAUUUUCAAAUUCCUAGCUAGAUUGCUUGCCUCCAGAUUGUGAAGAACCAACAACAUUGCUUAUAGAAAAAUAGCCAUGUAUGUCAUAAAUGCUUUUAUGCUUUAUAUGACUGGAAUCAUAUUAUUUACAUUCUCUAUGGUCAGCAUUUAUUUACUUAUUUAUUCUUUUAUGGUCAGCAUUUAUGUCUGAUAUUAUGUUCUUCAUAUUCAUCUAUGUUGUUCUGUGUAAUCUGUAGUUUAGUUUUUACUGCUGUAUGUGAAAUUCCAUUGUAUAUAUAGACCACAGUUUGUUUAUCCUUUGUGUUGUUGACAGACAUUUGGGCUGUUUCCAGGCUUUGGCUGUAACAAAUUCUGGUGUGAACAUUCUUUUACAAGUAUCCUAAUGCACAUAUGCAAGUGUUUCUGUAGGGGACAUAUAUUCUUAGGAGUAUAAUUGCUGGGUCAUAGAGUAAGGGCAUCAACUUUAUUGGAUAAUGUCAUAGUGUUUUUCCAGAGUGAAUGUUGUGCCAAUUUACACUCCCAGUAGCCAUGUAACAGUUUUGAUUGACUGAGGUAUAGUUAGCAUACAGUGUUACACUAGUUUCAGAUAUACAACAUAAUGAUUGGACUAGUUAUGCUAUAGUCAUGUAACAGCCAUAUAACAGUUUUAUUUGCUCUGUAACCACAUCUUAGAUUUGUUUUUGUCAAUUGACUCUUGCCAAUGUGGUAGCUCAGUGUAGUAUGUAUGUAUGUAUGUAUGUAUGUAUGUAUGUAUGUAUGUAUUUUUAAGGCUUUAUUUAUUGAAUUGAGAGAGAGAGAGAGAGAGUACAUGGGUAGGGGGAAGAGCUGAGGGAGAAGCAAACUCCCUGCUAAGCAGGGAGCAUGAUGCUGGGCUUGAUCUCGGGACCUCAGGGUCAUGAGCUGAAGGCAGAUGCUUAAGGAACUGAGCCACCCAAGUGCCCCAGUGUAGUUUAAACUUGCAUAUCCUUGAGUAAUAAUGAGAUUACACAUGGUUUCUUAGGCUUUUUUGUCAUUUAUGUUUCCACUUCUAUUACUUUUCAAGAUUUUUGUCCAUUUUCCAUUGGGUUUAUUUGUCUUUUAUCAUUGAUUUGGACAAAACUUUUUAAACAUAUUUUCUGGACACUAAUCAUUUGACAGUAAUUUGUGAGACAAAUAUUUUCUUUCAGUUUAUGAUUUAUCUUCUCAGUUUUUAAUGGAUUUUUUUUAGUAAACACAAGCAUUAAAUUUUAAUGUAGUCAA